AUAUUCUAAGAUUAAAAAGAAAAAAAAAAUGAAAUGAAGGAACCAAAAUUUAGUCAAAGUCCUCUUUAUCUUCUCCUGUUUCGUGUCACUUCAAUGAAUUGCCACCACAAUAAAUUGUUGUCAAAUUGUCAAAGCAACAGUUAAACAUUCCUAAAAGCAACCUGCAGUAGAAUGAUCUAAGCUUCUCAAUUCAUCAAACAACUUCAAAAGAAAUAGAAAGGACUCAGUAAAGAUGAAACCCUCACACCAAAAACUUAUUUUCCUUCUCUCUUAUUUCAUCUCCUCUGUUUUCAUCAAUCUUUUUUCUGCAUUUUACUCUAAUAUGCAAUCCAAAUUUGCCCCUUGUUUCUUCAUCAAUGUUUUAGAUCUCUUCAAGUUAUUGAAUUUAGGCUCAAAAUUUUCUUCAAUCGGAGUUCAGAGCUAUGACAUAAGCCCUUUGCAAGUUUGGUGUAAUUGCUGAACUUUUUGAUGCGUUGCUGCUGUGCAUGGGUGUUAGUGUUGUUGUUGUGCGGUGAUACUGGGUCAUUAAUGUUAAGUUUUGUUGAGUUUCGAAUUUUAUUGGCAGAAUUUCAAAGUGGAGAUUUUAGUGAUUAAUUGAUCAGAUGGUCUUAGUUAUGAUAUUUAAAUAAGUUUGAGGGAUUGGUAUUAAAAGGUUUUAUUAAACGGUCGUUGAUUAUGUUAUUGUGUUGGGUGAAUUAUUUUGGACUUCAAGCUGGAGUUGAAGAUCAAGAUUAUCAUAAAUGUUCUUGGAGAUUGCAUAUAGUUGUGCUUGAAUAUGAGGUUUGUGUUGGUAGCUCAUAGUAGAUUGGAAGUAAAGAGUUGGUUAUUAAAUUGUAGAUAUACUAGUGAUUCAAAGGUUGUAUUUGGAAGUAUUCAAGUUCUUAGUGAAAGAUUUAAUAUUGUAUUGUUUUGGGAAUCGAGUAAUUAAGGUAUUAUGUAAUAUGUUAUUUGGUUUUGAAGUCAUUAUGUUGUGGGCCCAUAACCCAUAGGUCCAUGAUCGUUUUAUAGUUAUGUUUUCCGCUGCGAAUGAAUAUAAUUCAAAGGUUAUUAAGUGUUGAUUGAGAUUCAUGAAAGAUAAGUGUGAUUAGCUAGCAGCUCGGAAGUGCGGGCUUUUGGAGAUGGUAUCAUAGCAUGGUUGUUUAUAGUUGUCGUGAUCUUCAUAUCAUGGCAUAUGAGUUAAGAAAGAUAUUUAGAAUUAUUUAAAGUUGGUUAGGGUUAUUAGUUAGUUGGAAAUUGAGGAAAUUAAAGGUUAAAUAUCGAGAAUUUAGAAAUGUGAAAAGUGUUAUUUGGAAUAUAAUAUGUGAUGAUUUGAGGAAAUUGUGGACAAUCUUGGUUGAGGCUUAGUGAUUAUUGGAUUGAGGAGCCAUGAAUCAUUUGAGGUUAUAGAGUAAGUGUAUCUGUUUCAAUUUGGGAUUUUGUCUAAGAUGUUCAUGUGAUUUAAGCGUAUUGAAAUGAUCUUAAAUUUUACGUUUUCAAUUUUGAGGACGAAAUUUCUUCUAAGGGUGGUAGAUUAUAAUAGCCCAUGUUUUUAAAGCAUGAUUUAGGCAAAGUUAAUUAUGUUUGCUAGUCUAAUUAAGCUUUAAUAUUAAUAAGAGAUCAUUUGAGAAUUAUAUUAUCAUAUUCUUAUUUGUGUUGUGGAAAUUUUUGAAAUUAGAAAUGUUUUGAAAAUUUGAUAUACUAAGGUUAAAAAGAAAAAAAAAUGAAAUGAAGGAACCAAACUUUAGUCAAAGUCCCCGUUAGCUUCUCCUGCUUCGUGUCACUUAAAUGAAUUGGCACCACAAUAAAUUGUUGUCAAAUUAUCAAAGCAACAGUUAAACAUUCCUAAAGGCAACCUGCAGUAGAAUGAUCUAAGCUUCUCAAUUCAUCAAACAACUUCAAAAGAAAUAGAAAGUGUUACGUAGUAUGAAACUAGUAAUUUAAUACAACGACUCCCAACAACAGGUUCUUAACUUGGAGACUCGUGCAACAAUUAUUGGACUCGAUUCCCGAUACUGAGCUCCGACUAGCCAACUGCAAAAAAGGGACCACCCUGGAGGUUUGGGUGGUAUUUCCCCCUCCGAUGCUUAAGUCAGAUAUCAGGGAUAAUGUGAAGGAUAUUUUAGCGAGAGAAAGUAGAGAGAGAGAGAAUUUAUGGCAGAAUAACAGUACUAUACUCUGAAAAACGUACCUUUCCCCUGAUUUCAAGGACUAUCUAUACUGUUUGAAAUGAUUGUUGUACCUUGAUGUCACCCUAAUUUGAGAGCAUCUGAUUGGCUAAGCAAUAAAAUGGUGACAGGUGGCAGGUAUUGAUUGGUCAUCACACCUCACCUUUAUGCAGGAGUAUAAGAUGCUUUAGCUGGGCCUAAGUACAGGUUUGGGCCAUAAGAGUGGUUUUAGUACAUCUUUUUCCUGAGAAAGGUGUACUUUAGCCCACAUAAUUUUCUGACCGAUGUGCUUUACCUUCAUAAGCUUGCGCCACAUGUAAGGCUAGGAUGGAGCCACGUGUCAUCUUGGUAGCCCUUGAUUUUUAGGCUACAACAUUUGCCCCUUAAAAGUGGAAGUUACCAUUUAGGUGCCAAGACGGUGGAUUUCCUCUUUUAACCGACCUGGAACUGCCCUUCUCUUUUUCAAAAAAGAGGCGCCAUUUUGCCGGUCUCCACAGGUCAACCCUCAAGAGCAACGGUUUCUUUUAUCGGAUGAGGGGGUCACUUUCACCCCUCUAUAAAUAUGUGACUUUGUCGUUUCUGAAAUCAUUUUAACAUCGCUGAGAAAUUUUCUAGAGAGAUAGACUCCGCAAUUUUUACUGAGCUUUUUUAGAGAGAGAAAUUACUCCCGUCCAAGCUCUUGCAUACUACUACUUUGUCCGUCCGAAGUUCCGGUUCGUCCUUGACAUUCGUCCGAACUUUCUCUACAGGUAUUUCCUCAUUUAUUUCCUUUGUAUUUUCACGCAUAUUUUAAGAAAAUGGAUUCGUCCUCUUCAUCGAACAAUCCCGGCCGCUCAGGGGUUGGUACUACCCUAGAAUUGAGGGCUUGUCUUCCUCGGCAUCUUCUAGAGUUGGACCUAUCUCUGCCGAGCAUGCAUUCUUUUUCUUUAGUCAUGAACGGCAAAGUCAGACGACCCAGUCUUUACCUGUGCAGGGAAAUCUGGCGCGCGUCAAGCAAACAGCUCGUAUCAGACGAGGAGUUAACCUGCCGGCCUCCAGCUCAGAAAUGGAGGCAUCUACUGGACGGAUUCCCGCUGAUGGAGAGCGAGAAGUCCAAAGCGCUCUUCCUGCCAACCCAAAUCCUUCUCUUGAACUCGUCCAGGAGGGAUCCGAUGUUCGGGGCUCUCCAGACCCCAGCCCGUCCAAGCCAAGGACGGCCUCAGAUGAGUCGAACGAAGCUGAAACCUCUUCUAACCCGGCUAGCGAAUCUGACGAGCCGUACACAACUUCCUCCGAAAUAAGGCGCCGUCUUGGCCCCUUAUCUGACCCUAAAUACAUCCUAGCCGAAAGUGGCUGGCUAGGACGAGUAGGUCCUCACCUUGAACAUCUUUCUUCUGCCAUACCCAUGCCGGGAUAUCGGUUUGUUCUUCCUGGCCGGGAGGACACUAUACUUAGUGCUCCUGCUGGUCACUUCGCUGUUUAUCGGCUGGCUUUAGAUGCCGGGCUGCGAUUUCCAUUGCACCCCUUCAUCAGCCGCCUCCUUUAUUACUAUAACAUAGGACUUAACAAACUUGCCCCAAAUUCAUGGAAACAUUUUAACCUUCAUAGCCGUCUGCGAAUUUAAGGGUGUUGAUCCGUCCAUGGCUGCCUUUUCCCAAAUACACUAUGUCUCCAAGGUUCCGAAAACUGUUGAUGGGGCCUGGUUCAAUGUUUGUAAUCGUCAAGGUUUCAUGAUGUCUUGGGACAAGACGUCCAAGAUGCAUGCUUGGAAAGCUGAGUUCCUGUUCGUCCAAGCUCCUAACGAGGUGGUGGCCAGACGGUACUGCUACACUAGCCGGGUUGCUACCAAUGCUGGACGAACAGCGUCCUUCCUGGAGCUGGAAAACAGCUCAGCUGAGCAGUUGGUGGAAUACUUCAAAAUCUCGUAGUAUUCCAUCAACGACGUCUCCUUUAAGGGCCCGUCCAAUUGGAUCCCUUUCAAGGAGAUGUUUUACAAUGACGAUUUCCUGGUCGCGGCCGGCUUGCGGCGGGCCGAGGAUAGAGGUAUACCUUGUAAUAAUUUCAAAGUAAAUGCCCUCGUCCUAUAUUCAUGAUUUUAACCAUGUCUCUUUUUCUUAUGCAGACUCGGCCAAGGCGAAACUCAUAAGAUCUUGGAAAGGAGAUAUGAGUUUGUCCAGAUCCACAGACUCCUUCUGGAAGGAGUUCAGCAAGACUGGUGCUGAAAAGAGGACAGACACUCUGAAAAUGCCCCAGCGUCCAAGGCGUUGGCAGAGAAGGCGGCCUCCAAGAAAAGACCUGCCACAACUGGUGAGGCACCACCACCCAAAAAAUCCAAAGGAUUCACGGCCAAAAAGAAGAAGCCCUCCCGGCCGGCACCUAAGGUGGUUAUUUCCAUCCCAGCUGAGGAUGAGUCUCCGGCUAAAGAGGAGAGGGCCAUAAUCCCUUAUGCCGGCCCUAUCGACCAGACUCCUCCUCUUUAAUCUGAGCAACCAGAGGCAGUUGCUCAACUGGACGAGUCUGAAGCUAAGCCUGCUCAGCCGGAUGCUGCCUUAGACGGAUCGGCUUAUAAUGGGCCAGUCGCCAAGCGGUAGGCCAGAUGCCGGAGGCAUAUAGGAUGACCUCCCGUUCUUCUGGUGAGUCUUAUUACUCAAACAUAGUUAGAACCUUGCGCGUUGGCGGGCGGCCAAUGAGUCUGUCCAACCGUCAGACUGUUGUUAUUCCCGUCAAAAAUAUUGACGAGUCUCCUCUUUCAGAUAAGGGAAAGGGCAUAGCUGAAGAAGCUCCAGCCGGCUCUCCCACUCUUUCGGACGAUGAGUCCUCGGCUACUUUUUCGAGGAUGACAUCGGCCGAUCGUGAGAAGCUCAAGCAGGAGCUUUUCAAAUGCUUCCCUGAACCUUACAUUAAGGGUUUGAGGGGAGCCUCAUCAGGACAUGUUGGCUACAUGUCUCAACUGGCUGUAGAGCUCUUUGCUCGCAGCUUUAUUACUGAGGACUGGGCAAGGCAGUUGAGGAAAGAGAACUAAAAACUCGUUGCUGACGUUACCAAAGCUGCCAACCAUGCCCAGUAUUCCAUGGCCAAGCAGGAGUUACUGCAUCAGCAGUCGAAGGUGGCCUGGGAAAAGAGAUCGGGCGAGAUGGAGUCCCAAAUCAAAAAUUAUCUCCUCCGGCUGACCAGUCUUUUGGACGAGAAGGACGCUCUCCAGGACGAGAGGAAUGUGGCCUUCUGGCGCGGCGGAACUCAGAAGAGAGAACCGCUAUCUCCG